AUUGAACGCUGGGGGCAUGCCUUACACAUGCAAGUCGAACGGCAGCACGGGUGCUUGCACCUGAUGGCGAGUGGCGAACGGGUGAGUAAUACAUCGGAACGUACCUUAUCGUGGGGGAUAACGCAGCGAAAGCUGUGCUAAUACCGCAUACGCCCUGAGGGGGAAAGCGGGGGAUCGAAAGACCUCGCGCGAUUAGAGCGGCCGAUGCCUGAUUAGCUUGUUGGUGGGGUAAAAGCCCACCAAGGCGACGAUCAGUAGCUGGUCUGAGAGGACGAGCAGCAACACUGGGACUGAGACACGGCCCAGACUCCUACGGGAGGCAGCAGUGGGGAAUUUUGGACAAUGGGGGCAACCCUGAUCCAGCAAUGCCGCGUGAGUGAAGAAGGCCUUCGGGUUGUAAAGCUCUUUUGUCAGGGAAGAAACACCGGCUCUAACACAGUCCGGGAAUGACGGUACCUGAAGAAUAAGCACCGGCUAACUACGUGCCAGCCGCCGCCGUAA
rnacentral:rRNA from 1 species